UGCACUGCAGUUGGCUGCACCUCGAAUUAGGACUACAGUGGGUUGGUCUGUGGUUCAAGCAAAUAUAUAAAUUGUCCUGUGAUGUCCGGAGCUGCCAAAGACGUUACAUGGUUAGAGUAUCUUCAAUGGAUGUAUACUAACUUGCAUGCAUGACUGAAUCUUGCAUGGCAGCCUUAUUAAAGUGAUACAUGCAAUAUCUUCGCUAAAUUCAUGUGUCUGAUAUGAGAUAUCGUAAGAAGUAUAUUAAAUGGUCGUCUUAUAUAAUAGAAACAAUGGAAAAUAAAUGAAAUAAUUGUAA